ACUGAAAAAGAUGGUUCCUCUUUUCUUUCUCAGAAACUCUUGAGAUUCUAUGAAUGAGCUUGAGCUGUCCUCAAAUGGCCGUUCAUCGUCUUCCUCUCCCAAAAUCCACUUUCAGAAGUGGAGUUCUCGCAUCAACAUUCGCAUCUGCAACUCCUUCGGUCACUCACACUAUCUAUUCGCUCCCCAAAUUUCGUUCCAAUACUCCCCUUCGAUCCCUCCAAACCCAUAUUACUCCAGAACUUCCUCACCACGAUCCUGUCUGUUCUUCAUUCUCUCCCUCGGAUUCGUUUCUAGUGGACAAGAUUUUGUUCAAUUUGAAGCAGAAUAAUGUAAGUUAUUUGUCCAAUUCUCUUUUCCGCCUGAACCCUUCACUUUUACUCGAAGUUCUCUGUAGGUGUCGUGAAAAUUUACAUUUGGGCUUAAAAUUUAUUGAUUUGGUUUCUUCUAAUUGCCCAAAUUUCAAGCAUUCGUCGCUUUCUUUGAGUGCAAUGGUUCAUUUUUUAGUGCGCGGCAGGAGGCUUUCAGAAGCCCAAGCUUGCAUUCUUAGGAUGGUGAGGAAGAGCGGCGUCUCACGAGUUGAGGUAGUCGAAUCCUUAAUUUCGACUAGUGUUAAUUUUGGGUCGAUUGGUUUGGUUUCUGAUUUGCUAGUAAGGACUUAUGUGCAAGCUAGAAAGUUAAGAGAAGGGUCUGAAGCAUUUCGAAUUUUGAGGAGCAAAGGAGUUUCUGUUUCUAUCAAUGCUUGUAACAGUCUCCUUGGUGGUCUUGUGAAGAUUGGGUGGGUUGAUUUAGCUUGGGAAAUAUAUGGGGAAGUUGUGAGAGGGGGUAUUGAGUUGAAUGUUUAUACACUGAAUAUUAUGGUCAAUGCUCUGUGUAAAGACCGGAAAAUUGAGAAUGUGAACUUGUUCUUAUCAGACAUGGAAGAGAAAGGAGUUUUUCCUGACAUUGUGACAUAUAAUACUCUCAUCAAUGCUUACUGUCGUGAAGGACUUGUUGAAGAAGCCUUCCAACUGUUGAAUUCAAUCUCGAGUAAGGGUAUGGAACCAGGCCUUCUAACUUAUAAUGCUAUCAUAAAUGGCCUAUGUAAGAUAGGCAAGUAUGAAAGGGCAAAGGAUGUUUUGAACGAGAUGGUGCAACUUGGGUUAAGGCCUGAUGCUGCUACGUAUAACACAUUGCUAGUUGAGAUUUGUCGAAGAGAUAAUAUUUUAGAAGCUCAAGAAAUAUUUGACAAAAUGUCACGUCAUGGUGUUCUUCCUGAUCUGGUUAGUUUUAGUUCUCUGCUUGGUGUGCUAGCAAGGAAUGGGCAUCUUGAUCAGGCUUUUAUGCAUUUUAGAGAGAUGAAAAGUAUUGGUCUAGUGCCUGAUAAUGUUAUUUAUACUAUUCUCAUAGAUGGGUUUUGUCGAAAUGGUGCUAUUUCAGAUGCUUUAAAAAUGAGGGAUGAGAUGCUUGCUCAAGGUUGUUUUAUGGAUGUGGUUGCGUAUAAUACUAUUUUGAAUGGAUUAUGCAAGAAGAAGAUGUUUGCUGAUGCAGAUAUGUUAUUUAAUGAAAUGGUUGAGAGGGGUGUGUUUCCAGACUUUUAUACUUUCACCACACUCAUUCAUGGAUAUUGCAAGGAUGGAAAUAUGGAUAAAGCGCUGAAUUUGUUUGGAACAAUGGUUCGUACAAACCUCAAGCCAGAUAUAGUGACAUACAACACGUUGAUUGAUGGCUUUUGCAAAGUAGGCGGAAUGGAAAGGGCCAAGGAGUUGUGGGAUGAUAUGAUCAGGAAAGAUAUUCUCCCUAACCACAUUUCCUACGGAAUUGUAAUAAACGGAUUUUGUAGCUCAGGCCAUUUAUCUGAGGCAUGGCAUUUGUGUGACCAGAUGGUUGAACGGGGUAUCAAACCCAAUCUUGUCACUUGCAAUACUUUAAUUAAGGGAUACUGCCGUUCUGGUGAUAUGCCAAAGGCAUAUGAAUAUUUGAGCCAAAUGAUAUCAAAUGGAAUAAUUCCUGAUAGCAUCUCAUAUAAUACUCUUAUUGAUGGAUAUUUAAAAGAAGAUAACUUAGAAAAAGCUUUUGUAUUAAUUAAUGAGAUGGAAAAACAAGGGCUCCAACUUGAUGUUAUUACAUAUAAUGUAAUUUUGAAUGGAUUCUGUGCAAAAGGAAGAAUGCAAGAGGCUGAGCAGGUAUUAAAGAAAAUGAUUGAGAAUGGUAUAAAUCCUGACAGAGCCACAUACUCUUCUCUGAUAAAUGGUCAUGUCAGCCAAGACAAUAUGAAGGAUGCAUUUCGUUUCCAUGAUGAAAUGCUCCAACGAGGACUUGUGCCUGAUGAUAGAUUUUAAAUUUGCACGUCACUGGAUGCAUGUCGACUAUUUAAUUAAGGCAAAGGGAUACUUCACAUAUAAUCUGAACCUGGAUGCUGAUACUUUAGCUUUGAUGGCUUUGACUCCUUGAUUACAGAGAAUUAAAUUCUAAUCAUCACAGGUAAAAAUGAGAGAAAACUUGUGUAUAAGAGUUGAUCACGAGUUGAGUAGAUCAUCACAAAGAGAUCGGAUUGUAAAGGAGCCAUUUGAUCCUGGCAGCCAAAACCUUUUGGUUGCUCCAUCGAGGAAUGAAAGGUAGAGGGAAAACAAAAGAGGGAUCUGAUUCAUGUAGAUCAAUCUCCCAAGACGUCUUAUAAAGCCAAGGUCCCAAUUAUUUGUUGCUAAGUUCUAACUUCCAAGAAUCUUUAAUAGAGGAUGAGGAAAGCCAAGGCAGUGGGAGGUUUUUUCUGACAAAGAAUGCAUCGAUUCCUUGGAGAUAAAUCAUAUUCUAGCUCAAGAUUUUCAUUUCUGCGUUCUUUUCUUAAAAGAACCUGAUCUACUGCAUCUUGGUUCAUUUCGAUCCUAUCAAGAGAUUGUGGUUUGCUAUUACCCUAACUCUUCUUGACAAGGUUAAGUUGGGUUGGAUUGAAAAAAAAGAUGUUGUAGGAUUUUUCCAUUGUUUCAGUCAUUUGUCUGUCAAAUAACAUUCGACGCGUGUUCUUUCUCCCUCCCAUUUUUGCACUUCCUUUUGAUAUUUUAAGUUAUGUACUUUCUCUAACAUUCAAGCUCAAGUUUUGUUUACAUUUUCUUUGAGUUCUUUAAUUUCCAGCUUAAUCUUUUACAUCAUAAGUAUAACAAGUGUGUUUUGUUUCCUUAAAAACAAGUGUGUUUUAUUUCAUUAGGUUCAAUAAACAAGUUUUUCUUCCUCAAUUUUAUUUUGCC